rnacentral:tRNA from 1 species
UCACGGGGCUCUCCGCGUGGCGGGCGGCGACGUUCCCGACGCCGCUGGCGUGGGGCGCGUCGUUCGACCCGGAGCUCGUGAC